CGACCUGAACUCAGACGUGAACACCCGCUGAACUUAAGCAUAUCAGUAAGCGGAGGAAAAGAAACUAACGAGGAUUCCCGUAGUAACGGCGAGUGAACUGGGAAGAGUCCAGCGCUGAAUCACUUCUCCUCUGGGGUUGUGAGGUGUAGCGUACAGACCGUGAGCUUGGAUUGGCCCGCUUGUUCAAGUUUCCCUUGACCGGGGCUCCAGAGAAGGUGCAAGACCUGUCCAACGGGUGGUUGCCUAUCCAUCUUCGCGUGUCUUGGAGUCGGGUUGUUUGGGAUCGCAGCCCAAAGUAGGUGGUAAACUUCAUCUAAGACUGAAUACGGCCACGAGUCCGAUAGCGAACAAGUACCGUGAGGGAAAGUUGCAAAGCACUUUGAAGAGAGAGUUAAAGAGGACGUGAAACCGAUGAGAUGGAAACGGACAGAGCUGGCGUAUCUGGUCUGCAUUCAUCCGUGUGUUCUUGGGCGUUUGGAUUGCCUAACUCCAGACUGGGAUGGUGUUCAGCUGCAUGAGCUUGGCUUUGAGGCCAGCCCUUCGGGGUCUGGUACCCGGGCUGUGGGAGUGCUGUUUGUUCUGGGUGCUGAGUGUGUGCAAUGGCAACGGGUCCGUGUUGGUUUGAGCUGGUGGUUGGUGGCGGUCGCGUGCGACACGUGCCGGCAGUCAGUUCGGUCCUGCUCGGGCUCUCAUUGCAUGUUCUCGGUGUAAAAGCCGGUCAUCUGUCCGACCCGUCUUGAAACACGGACCAAGGAGUUUAGCGUGUGCGCGAGUCAUUGGGAGUUGAAAACCCAAGGGCGUAAUGAAAGUGAAGGUCUCCUUGCGGAGCUGAUGUGAGAUCUCGUGCACCCCGGUGUGCGGGCGCAACAUAGUCCCGUCCCGAUCGCAUGCGAUGGGGCGGAGACAGAGCGUACGCGCUGAGACCCGAAAGAUGGUGAACUAUUCCUGAGCAGGAUGAAGCCAGAGGAAACUCUGGUGGAAGUCCGAAGCGAUUCUGACGUGCAAAUCGAUCGUCUGACUUGGGUAUAGGGGCGAAAGACUAAUCGAACCAUCUAGUAGCUGGUUCCCUCCGAAGUUUCCCCCAGGAUAGCUGGAGCUCGUCAAGCAGUUAUACUCGGUAAAGCGAAUGAUUAGAGGACUUGGGGACGAAAUGUUCUUAACCUAUUCUCAAACUCUAAAUGGGUAUGAAGCCAGGGUUGCUUGACUCUGAACCCCGGCGUUGAAUGUUUGAGCUCCAAGUGGGCCAUUUUUGGUAAGCAGAACUGGCGAUGUGGGAUGAACCAAACGUGGAGUUAAGGUGCCAAAGUGCCCGCUCAUUAGACCCCAUAAAAGGUGUUGGUUGAUAUAGACAGCAGGACGGUGGCCAUGGAAGUCGGAAUCCGCUAAGGAGUGUGUAACAACUCACCUGCCGAAUCAACUAGCCCUGAAAAUGGAUGGCGCUGGAGCGGGCCACCUAUACUCUGCCGUCAUUGGCUUGUACGCCACUGCUGUGGACAGUCUGGCCAUGACGUGUAGGAGGGUCGUGGUGGUUGCGUUGAAGGCUUUGGGCGUGGGCCCGGCCGGAGCUUCCACCAGUGCAGAUCUUGGUGGUAGUAGCAAAUAUUCAAGUGAGAUCCUUGAAGACUGAAGUGGAGAAGGGUUCCACGUGAACAGCAGUUGAAUGUGGGUCAGCCGAUCCUCGUAUAACUUCGUAUAAUGUAUGCUAUACGAAGUUAUUACGUGGCUGAGACUGCCAAGGCACACAGGGGGAAGGNCCCGUCCCGAUCGCAUGCGAGUGGGGCGGAGACAGAGCGUACGCGCUGACGAACCCGAAAGAUGGUGAACUAUUCCUGAGCAGGAUGAAGCCAGAGGAAACUCUGGUGGAAGUCCGAAGCGAUUCUGACGUGCAAAUCGAUCGUCUGACUUGGGUAUAGGGGCGAAAGACUAAUCGAACCAUCUAGUAGCUGGUUCCCUCCGAAGUUUCCCCCAGGAUAGCUGGAGCUCGUCAAGCAGUUAUACUCGGUAAAGCGAAUGAUUAGAGGACUUGGGGACGAAAUGUUCUUAACCUAUUCUCAAACUCUAAAUGGGUAUGAAGCCAGGGUUGCUUGACUCUGAACCCCGGCGUUGAAUGUUUGAGCUCCAAGUGGGCCAUUUUUGGUAAGCAGAACUGGCGAUGUGGGAUGAACCAAACGUGGAGUUAAGGUGCCAAAGUGCCCGCUCAUUAGACCCCAUAAAAGGUGUUGGUUGAUAUAGACAGCAGGACGGUGGCCAUGGAAGUCGGAAUCCGCUAAGGAGUGUGUAACAACUCACCUGCCGAAUCAACUAGCCCUGAAAAUGGAUGGCGCUGGAGCGGGCCACCUAUACUCUGCCGUCAUUGGCUUGUACGCCACUGCUGUGGACAGUCUGGCCAUGACGUGUAGGAGGGUCGUGGUGGUUGCGUUGAAGGCUUUGGGCGUGGGCCCGGCCGGAGCUUCCACCAGUGCAGAUCUUGGUGGUAGUAGCAAAUAUUCAAGUGAGAUCC
rfam:Globodera pallida, Lindley, WGS project CBXT01000000 data, contig: pathogens_Gpal_scaffold_49_contig_33